CAAACCCUAACCAACGCCACAAGUGGAUUGCCGAACAAACCCAUGCUCAUCGUGAACACCGAACUGAAGAGGUUGCUCUUAAGGCAAGUAGCUUUCCUGCUUCCUCUUCCCCUUUCAGGCGAUAAAAUUAGAAUUCCAAUUCCGUAACCCUCUCAUUGCAUUUUGUAUUUUGUUCCUAAUUUAAACUUUGUAUUUUGAAGGAAGAUCUACAAAUUUGUUUGUCAGUAACUUGCAGAUCUACGCUUGUCCGACCUCACUCCAUCGUUUCUGCUCUCCUUUCAUCACUUUUGUUUUCAAGGAAUAUUGGAAGAGAAGUGGUCAAAUACUAGCUCUUAGAGUAAAUGCUAGAACUGAACCUGAUGCAGAUCUUGGUCCGGUUAUCAGAUCUUAGAACCCGGAACAUAUUUCAUGGCCAAAUGUGGAUUAACUGCAAGUCUUAAGUUCUUCUUUGGGGACCAAAUGCAGAAGAUCCUUCUCACGUAGAGACGUGGUUUCGUUAACGAGCAACCUGAGGGCUGAAAGAGGCAAUGACAACCAUUCUGCUGCUUCAUCUAGAUCAUCACUAUUCAACUCAGCCUUGAUGCAUAAGUCUUCCAAUCUCGUGGAACCUUCUGAUGAUGAUGGUCUUCUAGAGUGUAUAUUGGGCAUUGAUUUCUGAUUUUUUAUGUGUGUUGCAGGGCUGGCAGUGCAGUUGGUAAUUAGUGAAUCUGAUAAGUUGUGCUUGUGCAUUGAAUAUAAUAUGUCAUGGGCUGGCUAUUUGGUAAGUGUAUGAAUAUAAUGUCAUUGAACUAAAGACAUCAACAUCGGAUUUCUUUUCUGUUAUGGUGCUACGGGAGUUGAAAAAGCAUACAAUGCUAGGCAUUGUGGAUAAUACAAUACAUGGAUUUAAAUAAACUUAAUUUAUAGCAUUGAAGAAUCACUUGAUUUUUAUGUUCAAUUUAAUACACUUAUGUUUUGUCCUCUAUUCAUUGCUACUUAUUCAUAAUGCUGAAUUUAAAUACUUAUUUAUUUAUUGUUGUAUUGCUCAUUUAAAUACUUAUUCAACGAAAUACACUUAUCUCUUUCUGCUCACAGAGUAUGUGCAUCUUAUUCAUUUUCUACAUUAGCAUUUACUGCAUAUUAUUAACGUUUGAUUUGAUCUAUGUUGUUGAUAUUUUAGUAGAAAGAGAUCCAAAGCACGUUACAGAUUAUCUUUGAACGUUAGAUUUGUUCAAUAUUUUGUGAGCUCCAAGACUCAUCUCAUAGGAAUAAAAAUAAAUAAAAGAGUGAAAGUGGAAAAUUGUAUGACAGAAAAAGACCCCACUUGCUAUUCCUGAAUGUUAGUGCAAAGUGUGGCUGGAUGGAGAAAGCUUAUGCGGACUAAUAGUGAUUUUAGAGUCAACAACCUCAACAAUGUAGUCUUUUGUGUUUAAUAUUUUUACAAAUUUGUAGUACUUAAUAGUUAUAGUAAAUUGAGUUUCAAUUUGUGUUUUGAUAGGGGAAGUUCUAUGAGAGAUGCAGCUUCUUCUAAGGCUUAUACACGAAUAUUUAAUUCAUCUACAAGGGAGAAAGUGGUGUGUUUGUGUACAUCGGGGCAAUUGUGAUCAUUUGUUUGUUUUUAAUACAUGAGCCUAAUCUAUUU